UUCCAGACAAUGGAAUUCCUUCAGUACUCUGCGUUUCACAAACUUGAGGGCUUGAGAAAAGCGACUACUUGCUAUUCUUGCGGAGGACCCAAGUUCAGUUCUCAGCAGCCACUCCAGCACCUCAGCAGCAGGAGAUCGGCUGUGUUCCUCUGACCUCCUUGGUACUAGGUGUGUCCAUGGUGCACAGACAUACAAGCAGGUAUCAGAUUGACAAAGACUGAAAGAACUUUGGAAGUUGCUGUCAUGGUGGAAAACUCAAGGUCUCAUUUACUUCAGGUGGGAAUAUAAAAAUGGCAGGAUUUCUGUGAGGAGCAAUUUAGUAAGUUGGUAAUACUUAUCAAAAUACAAACUAGAGCAGAAAAGUACACUUCGAGGGAUUUCUUCUCCAGGUACAGUCCUUUCAAUCUGGACGUAAGAAUGCCAAGCCUCUCCUAAGGGGAGCUGCAAUAACAUCUAGACAUAACCUAGCGAAUAUCCUGGAGACUUGACCAAAGCACCAGUUUGCCUAAUGUGCAAAGGAGAACAUACUAAAUGCU